rfam:Asian citrus Psyllid, Diaphorina citri - Florida Strain, whole genome shotgun sequence.
GCCAGCAACGAAAACACGGUAAAUGUACCAGUUCCUAAUGGAACACUGAGGUUAAGAAACGUUGCGCGUGGUUAGCAUCGGGAUGGGUAACUAUCUGGGCAGUCGCGUGCUACUGGCU